GCGCCCGGGGCGCCCGGGGCGCCCGGGGCGCCCGGGGCGCCCGGGGCGCCCGGGGCGCCCGGGGCGCCCGGGGCGCCCGGGGCGCCC
rnacentral:tRNA from 1 species